rnacentral:rRNA from 1 species
GGUUCGAUGGCUCCAGAUUGAACGCUGGCGGGAUGCUUUUACAUGCAAGUCGAACAACGGCACGGACUUCGGUCUGGUGGCGAGUGGCGAACAGGUGAGUAAUGUAUCGGAACGUGCCUAAUGUGGGGGAUAACUACGCGAAAGCGUAGCUAAUACCGCCGCCUUCAAGAAAAAGCGGGGGACCUUCGGGCUCGCACUAUUAGAGCGGCCGAUAUCGGAUUAGCUAGUUGGUGGGGUAACGGCUCGCGCAAAACGACGAUCCAUGGCUGGUUUGAGGGACGACCAGCCACACUGGGACUGGAGACCUGGCCCAGACUCCUACGGGAGGCAGCAGUGGGAAUUUGGACAAUGGAAACCUGAUCCAGCCAUCCCGCGUGUACGAUGAAGGCCUUCAGGUUGUAAGCACUUUUGGCAGGAAAGAAACAGCUGGGAUAAUACCCCGUACUGCAACUGACAGUACCUGCAAGAAUAAGCACCGGCUAACUUGCGUGCUGACAGCCGCGUUAAUACGAGGGUGCAAGCGUUAAUCGGAAUUACUGGGCGUAAAGCGUGCGCGAGCGGUUCGGAAAGAAGAUGCGAAAUCCCAGAGCUUAACUUUGGAACUAACACCAUUACCGGUGGUGUCAUCAGAGGGAGGUGGAAUUCCGCGUGUAGCAGUGAAAUGCGUAAUAGUGCGGAGGGAACACCGAUAGCGGCUGUCUGGAUCGUUGCAGCGGCACUCAUGCCUGGCCCUGAUGGGAGCAAGCAGUUAGAUGCCCCUGGUAGUCCGCCUAAACGAUGUCAACUAGCUGUUGGGGCCUUGAGCCUUGGUAGCACAAUGUUCGCGUGAAAUUGACUACCUGAAGUGCAGUCGCAAGAUUAAAACUCAAAGGAAUUGACAGGGACCACUGGCGGUGGAUGAUAUUGGAUUAAUUCAGGCCGCGCGAAAAACACCCUGCUGCCGACAUGGAGUCCGAAGGGGGCGGGUGCUCGCAGAGAACCGGAACACGGGUACUGCCUUAGCUGUCGUCAGCUCAACCGUGGAUGUUGGGUUAAGUCCCGCAACAAUGCAACCAUGUCAUUUGAGUUGCUACGAAAGGGCACUCUAAUGAGACUGCCGGUGACAAACCGGAGGAAGGUGGGGAUGACGUCAAGUCUCGGCACUUGUGGGUAAGACUUCACACGUCAUACAAUGGGUAAGGACGAGAAGAUCGCCAACCCGCGAGGGGCCAAUCCCGAAACCCGAUCGUAGUCCGGAUCGCGGUCUGCAACUCGACUGCGUGAAGUCGGAAUCGCUAGUAAUCGCGGAUCAGCAUGUCGCGGUGAAUACGUUCCCGGGUCUUGUACACACCGUUGUCCCCACCACUUAGGAGUGGGUUGCAGGACUGGUUAACCUAACCGUAAGGAGGCGAUUGUUCCCGGUAAGUUCAUGACUGGGUGAAGUCGUAACAAAGUGG